GUUGCAUUCUGAAUGAUUAUUUUUUUCGUAGAUAGGAAGAAAAUAAAUUAUAUAUAUACUUUUUUUUUUAUUACACUUCAGAUAUAUGUAUUGCUGGUUUAGAGAUAAGUGAUUUGAUCAUUUGACAACCUCUGUUUUAGAGAACCAGCAUGGUUGUGGUGUGAUAAGUAUUUAAGUUAAGGUCAGGCUUAUGGAAUUAACUGGGCGGUAGGAGGGGCACUUGCUAUAUAUACGAGGUGAUAGGACGUGCCGCUGGGAUAGGUCAACUUUCUAACUUGAAAUAAUGAGAUCAAUAAAGUUUUCAUUACUUGUUAUAUGAAAAACACUGUAACUUUUUUUGGUGUAAUAGCUGUGUUUUUAUCCACAAAUUUCCCCUCUUUUGACACUUUGGUAUUCCACUUCAACAUACCACACACGAAACCCAUUCAAUAUGGGAAAAGGUUACUAUUUUACCUAUUCAUUAUAUGAAAAGGUAAACAUUUUUAAUAUCUAAAUUAUAUGAAAGGAUAGGGUAACAGAACCCCAGUGGCACACCCUAUCAAUAUAUUAUUGUCUCACUUGAUGGAGUCAAAAAGCGAGACAGAGGUAUGCUUGUUUCUGGCGUCGGCGACAGCGUCAACAAUGUAUUAGUUUGUGAUUAGGUCUAGUUUAUGGUGAACCACAAGUGGUAGGGCAAUGCAAUGAUAUUUGGUAUGCAGUUGUAUAAGCAUUGGCACAUCUCAUUUCCAUGGAGAUUAUUUGGCCAUGCCCCCUCAGUCAUGGUCUAAUGACUUUGAAACUUUUGGUUAGUUUACAUGUAUUAGUUUGUGAUUAGGUCAGUUUAUGGGGAACAACUAGUGGUAGGUCAAUAAUAUUUGGUAUUUGGUUGUUUAAGCAUCAUUGGCAUAUUUCAUUUCCAUGGAGAUUAUUUGGCUCUGCCACCUUAGUCAUGGUCUAUUGACUUGGAAAAUUUUGCUUAGUUUACAUGUAUUAGUUUGUGAUUAGGGCGGUUCAAGUGGAACCGUUAGUGGUAGGUCAAUGUUAAUUGGUAUUCAGUUGUAAAAACAUUUGCUCAUCUCAUUUUCAAAAAUGGAGAAUUUUUAAUAUUUGGCCCCACCCCCUCAGUCAUGGUUUAUUGACUUUGAAACAUUUGCUUAGUUUGUAUGUAUUAGUUUGUGAUUAGAUAAACUGCUAAUGUUAAGUCAAUAAUAUUUGGUAUGGAAUUUAUUGGUAUUUGCAAGUCUUAUUUCCGUGAAAAUUAUAAAGCUUCACCCCCUCAUAAUGGUUCAUUGACUUUGAAACUUUUACAUAGUUUACAAGUUAAUGUUUGUGUUUAGGUUUGUUUAAAGGAAUGACUUAUGAUAAGUUAAUGGUAUUUGGUAUGCAAUUGUAUUAACAUUGGCACAUCUCAUUUCCAUGGAGAUUGUUCAACUGUGUACCUUCAGUCAUGGUUCAUCGACUUUGAAUAUUUGCCUCACUUAUGUAACAUGUUUUAAAAAGUAUUGCUAUUUUAAUUUCAACAUUUGCAUAAUCAAAAUUACAAAAAAGCGAGACAUAUCUCUGUGAUAACAGUUUAUUGAAGUACAGCCCCCCUCCCACCUCGAGGGGAUUAAUUUCUAGCAAAGGUAUGGGGCUAGUAUACUAAAGAAAAUUGUAAAGAUUAGGGUUAUGGCAAAAAGUAUCAGAUAUUUUUUGAUUGAGGAUUUUUGUAAUGGCUACAGGGUUAUCGUAUUGGCAGUGCAUAAAUGGUAGAAUGGUGUUGGUUAUUAAAGUUAAAUCAAAUUUAUAAAUGUUAUUAAAUAUUGAUAUGAAUUAAUGAUGAAAUAAAUGUUAUGCGAUUGUUCCGAGGUCGGGAACUUGGUGUUUAUUAUUAUUGCCUUUUGAUUAUAAAUAUCUAUUUGAAUUUUUGUUGUUGAUUUAAAAUAAUUUCUGUUGAAAUAAAUUGAU
rnacentral:lncRNA from 1 species